UUGGGAGGACAAAUUAUCUGGAUGUG
rnacentral:piRNA from 1 species